CAGAGAAUAGUUUAAAUAAAAUAUUAGUUUUGGGAAUUAAAGAUGAAAGUUAUUUUUUCUCUGA
rnacentral:tRNA from 1 species